rnacentral:rRNA from 1 species
GACGAACGCUGGCGGCGUGCCUAAUACAUGCAAGUUGAACGCAACAAAGACACCAGAGCUUGCUCUACCGUCUUUGUUGAGUAGCGAACGGGUGAGUAACGCGUGGGUAACCUGCCUUAUAGCGGGGGAUAACUAUUGGAAACGAUAGCUAAUACCGCAUAACAAUAGAGAUUGCAUAAUCUUUAUUUGAAAGUGCCAACUGGUACACUAUGAGAUGGACCCGCGUUGUAUUAGCUAGUUGGUAGUGUAAUGGACUACCAAGGCGAUGAUACAUAGCCGACCUGAGAGGGUGAUCGGCCACAUUGGGAACUGAGACACGGCCCAAACUCCUACGGGAGGCAGCAGUAGGGAAUCUUCGGC